rnacentral:rRNA from 1 species
CCUACGGGCGGCACCAGUGGGGAAUAUUGCACAAUGGGCGCAAGCCUGAUGCAGCCAUGCCGCGUGUAUGAAGAAGGCCUUCGGGUUGUAAAGUACUUUCAGCGGGGAGGAAGGUGUUGUGGUUAAUAACCGCAGCAAUUGACGUUACCCGCAGAAGAAGCACCGGCUAACCCCGUGCCAGCAGCCGCGGUAAUACGGAGGGUGCAAGCGUUAAUCGGAAUUACUGGGCGUAAAGCGCACGCAGGCGGUCUGUCAAGUCUGAUGUGAAAUCCCCGGGCUCAACCUGGGAACUGCAUUCGAAACUGGCAGGCUAGAGUCUUGUAGAGGGGGGUAGAAUUCCAGGUGUAGCGGUGAAAUGCGUAGAGAUCUGGAGGAAUACCGGUGGCGAAGGCGGCCCCCUGGACAAAGACUGACGCUCAGGUGCGAAAGCGUGGGGAGCAGACAGGAUUAGAUACCCUCGUAGUC